CCUACGGGCGGCAGCAGUGGGGGAUAUUGCACAAUGGGGGGAACCCUGAUGCAGCGACGCCGCGUGGGCGAUGGAGUGCUUCGGCAUGUAAAGCCCUAUCAGCAGGGAAGAAAAUGACGGUACCUGACUAAGAAGCCCCGGCUAAAUACGUGCCAGCAGCCGCGGUAAUACGUAGGGAGCGAGCGUUGUCCGGAAUUACUGGGUGUAAAGGGAGCGUAGGCGGGCUUGUAAGUUGAAUGUCUAAUCCACCGGCUCAACCGGUGAUCGCGUUCAAAACUGCAGGUCUUGAGUGAAGUAGAGGCAGGCGGAAUUCCUAGUGUAGCGGUGAAAUGCGUAGAUAUUAGGAGGAACACCAGUGGCGAAGGCGGCCUGCUGGGCUUUAACUGACGCUGAGGCUCGAAAGCGUGGGGAGCAAACAGGAUUAGAUACCCGAGUAGUC
rnacentral:rRNA from 1 species